UACGUAGGGGGCAAGCGUUGUCCGGAGUUACUGGGCGUAAAGGGCCCGCAGGCGGUCACCCCAGUUCAGACUGACAAGUGUGCGCUUACCGCACAGAGGUGUCUGGAAACUAGGUGACUUGAGGCAGAGAGAGGGACAGGGAAUUCCGGGUGGAGUGGUGAAAUGCGUAGAUAUCCGGAGGAACACCAAAGGCGAAGGCACUGUCCUGGCUCUGACCUGACGCUGAGGGGCGAAAGCUAGGGGAGCGAACGGG
rnacentral:rRNA from 1 species